AGUACUCAGGAGAGUUUCUUUUACAGUUCUAUACCGGUCAGUGAGACUGUUAUGUCUGUAGAAGAGCGCCGAAGGUGUAAGCGUCGAAGCCGGUCUUUCCGACGGAUGCAGGAAAGCAGGGCGGGGACGUGAGUCUCUCAGGCAAAAGGAUGGAGGUAUAA
rnacentral:ncRNA from 1 species